rnacentral:piRNA from 1 species
UGCUGCGAUACUAAGAUGAGUGAGACAUAGC